UUGCUUACCUCUGCCUGUUUUUCUCCUUUGUGUUUUAAUGCAUGUGACACUUUAAGGAAGUGUUUUACUUGGAUACUUGGGAAAUGAGCAGUGAAGUGAAAUAGCUUUCCCUGCUCUUAUUUGUAUUGCUCUGAUUUGGAGGCAUAUACUCUUCUAAAUGAUUGCUUAUUCACGUGCUUCUGUCAAAUUAGAACCUUAAAGAGGCAUGAUCAGAUUUGCCCACAUUCCUGAGUAGGGGAGAUGCCUAUUUCAACAAUAGUACCUACAGGGUUAAUACAGACCAAGAAGCCUACUUGUUGUGGGUAAGUUACAGUAGCUGGUAUUUUAAGAUGACAUUUGUUUGUCUCUGCAAAUAUUCCCACAAGUGUUCUCUCAGUAGUUCACUGUUUGGAGCUUCUUGCAGAAGUAUCUCAAACAUGAUGAUCAUGGGGCCACAUGAGAAGUACUAAGCACCGUUGAUGAUGUUCCUGUGUAUUUUUCAGCUUUGAAGGGGGUGACACUUAGAUAAACCCUACUAUCAUUACUAAUAACAUAAGUCAUUAGUAAGUCCAGGACAUUUAGAAUAUUUUCCUCUAUCCCAUUGUUUUGGACCAAAAAGUAAUGAAUCUGUGGUAGUGAAGACUGAUCUUCAUAAAAACACUUUGCAUGAUCAGAGCUUCAUUUCCCGAGGGAGUGCAGUAAAGGCUUGUUUAUCAACUGCUGGAUUCCUCAGAAUGCUCUCUCUUCUACUAUGGGAGCUUUUCUGAUUAAACCCUCAUUCAGGUCUGGUAAAGUCAGUUCGGGUCAAUACCAUUCACAAUUCAUAAGUUCCUCCUAUGCCUUAUGAACGGCCUAAUGCCUAGUUGCCCAACCUAUGACCAGUUGACCCUCACACGGGAAACUUGUUUGUACUGGCAGACAUCUUGAUGGCUCUUGUAUGAGCCAUUUCCAGUUUAUACCCACAUCACCAUCUCUCUGGCACUGGGAGCCUGGCCUUGCGUUCUUCCCAACGUCCUAGGGAAAACUCAGCCUGGGUUCCUCAGAUGGAAGGCACAAAUUCAAUCCACCCAGUUCAGCACGGGUGAGGAGGCCUUAGGAAGCUUAGAAUCAUGGCGGAAGGGGAAGCAGACAUGUCCUUAUUUACAUGAUGGCAGGAAGGAGAAGUGCUG
rnacentral:lncRNA from 10 species